CACGUAGGGGGCGAGCGUUGUCCGGAUUUAUUGGGCGUAAAGAGCUCGUAGGCGGUUCGGCAAGUCGGGUGUGAAAUUUCGAGCUCAACCUCGAAACGCCACUCGAUACUGCUGUGACUGGAGUCCGGUAGAGGAGUGCGGAAUUCCUGGUGUAGCGGUGAAAUGCGCAGAUAUCAGGAGGAACACCAACGGCGAAGGCAGCACUCUGGGCCGGUACUGACGCUGAGGAGCGAAAGCGUGGGGAGCAAACAGG
rnacentral:rRNA from 1 species